rfam:Marinilactibacillus sp. 15R, complete genome.
UGAGCGUUAUGAUGAUGGAAUUUUUUCCAAGUGUCUAGCUCAAGUCUCUCCUAAAAGGCGUUUUGCCUUUUAGG